rnacentral:rRNA from 1 species
AUAGGUUAAUGAGGCGAACCGGGGGAACUGAAACAUCUAAGUACCCCGAGGAAAAGAAAUCAACCGAGAUUCCCCCAGUAGCGGCGAGCGAACGGGGAGGAGCCCAGAGCCUGAAUCAGUGUGUGUGUUAGUGGAAGCGUCUGGAAAGGCGCGCGAUACAGGGUGACAGCCCCGUACACAAAAAUGCACAUAUUGUGAGCUCGAUGAGUAGGGCGGGACACGUGGUAUCCUGUCUGAAUAUGGGGGGACCAUCCUCCAAGGCUAAAUACUCCUGACUGACCGAUAGUGAACCAGUACCGUGAGGGAAAGGCGAAAAGAACCCCGGCGAGGGGAGUGAAAAAGAACCUGAAACCGUGUACGUACAAGCAGUGGGAGCCUCUUAAUGGGGUGACUGCGUACCUUUUGUAUAAUGGGUCAGCGACUUAUAUUCUGUAGCAAGGUUAACCGAAUAGGGGAGCCGAAGGGAAACCGAGUCUUAACUGGGCGUUAAGUUGCAGGGUAUAGACCCGAAACCCGGUGAUCUAGCCAUGGGCAGGUUGAAGGUUGGGUAACACUAACUGGAGGACCGAACCGACUAAUGUUGAAAAAUUAGCGGAUGACUUGUGGCUGGGGGUGAAAGGCCAAUCAAAGCGGGAGAUAGCUGGUUCUCCCCGAAAGCUAUUUAGGUAGCGCCUCGUGAAUUCAUCUCCGGGGGUAGAGCACUGUUUCGGCAAGGGGGUCAUCCCGACUUACCAACCCGAUGCAAACUGCGAAUACCGGAGAAUGUUAUCACGGGAGACACACGGCGGGUGCUAACGUCCGUCGUGAAGAGGGAAACAACCCAGACCGCCAGCUAAGGUCCCAAAGUCAUGGUUAAGUGGGAAACGAUGUGGGAAGGCCCAGACAGCCAGGAUGUUGGCUUAGAAGCAGCCAUCAUUUAAAGAAAGCGUAAUAGCUCACUGGUCGAGUCGGCCUGCGCGGAAGAUGUAACGGGGCUAAACCAUG